GUUCAUGAACUUCAUUAGGACUGAGAACGGCCUGGGCCAAAUCCCUUAAGUAUCAAAGCAGGAGCCCAAACUUUUAUCUUCAUCGGAGUUCUUCCUCCACUCUUCGGGUCAGUCCGUACGAUCCACUUAUCUCAAUUUUCGUGUGUUAAAUUACUGUUAUAUCUUACAAGAUGCCUUCUGCUUAAGAUCCAUUUUAUGUAGUGAAAGAGGUGAAAGAGGAUAUUCAAGAAUAUGAUUGUUCUUGAUUACAAGGGAAGAUAAAAAGUUCAAGAUUGAAUAUCCUUGAGUUGAACAGAUCUUGAAAGAACAAAUUAUGGUUGUCUCAUGAUUGUUCUAUCGUUGUCUCAUGAUUUAGAACCACUACUGCCACUGUUUCGAAUAUCUAAUUAGGAAGAGUCGUGCUAUAUAUAGUAAGAACGAACAGACCAUGACCGUGCACAGUGCACUCAAACGGGAAAUGUCAUACACCUUAUCCAUUUGCGGCAGCGCCCACAGCUUUUGAAGAACCACUUAUGCUUAAUUACCACCAAAUGGACGGUGCUGUGUCCAUCGCUCCCAGCUCCGAAGCUAUUGUUAGGUGGCUAGGAGCAUUAUGUCAUUAUGGGACGUGGACUUCAUUUGCCCAUAACAAUUAAAUAUCGUUGACAGCUUAAUUUCCUCGAACCAGCUUCUUCGAUACCUCGAUGUUGUAUCUUUUUUUCUCAUGUUAAUUUCAAGGUAAAAGAUGUUUGGGAGUACUUAUAUAUAUAUCUUUCUAUAAUAAUAAGUGUCUAUAAUAUUGCUACAGUAAUAAACAGUAAAAUCACAUUCCGUUUCCGUGUGUUUCAUAUCUUCACUUUUUCCUUCAGUUUUUGUGUAUACCAUCCGUGCAAAAGUCUUUAAAUUGUGUCAGUGAUUUAUUUUUGUGUGAUUUCCACCGAUUACAUUGGUACUCAAGCCUGCUGUUGUGUCCCCUCUGUCAUUUAUCAAUGCAUGCGUAUAGAAGCUGCUCUUUCCUUCAGUUGGCCAGUGCAUGCGUAUAGGUAAUACCAGUUUGUCAGGUAUGAGUACGGAAAAUUGUGAGGUUUACAUCUUUAACGUAUAGGAAAAGAAAAAACGGUAGCAGCUUCUCUCGUCAGAAACAACCACCAUUCAAGGUAGCAAAUUCUCUCCGCCAUGCCACCAGCCCGUCCACAGUGUCUCCAUUGUUUUCCUUGGGGUGAGCUUCUGCAAGUUUCAGCUGCCCAGCAUGCUCUUCACGGUCUCGUGUGGGUAUGCUCUUUGCGGUGUCGACGCUGAAGCGGGGAAGGUUUUGGCCAUCGAUCAGAGAGAUUUUAUGUAAUUGGGAGUGAUCGCAAUAAGAGGUUCUUUCGGGUGUUGAAGAUUGACUGUAGUGAGCUGUCUGAUCUCAACAUCAGUGAAGACCCAGUGGUGUAUUCGCCAAAGGAAAUCAAGAACUUGCUUCAGCGCAUUGAUGUUUUUGGUAUUGUGGGUUGCAUUACUUUACUAAAAUCUGGAGGAAUACUGACCAACUAGAAUUAUUUCGCUAAAGUUCAGCAAAUUGUCUCUCGGUAAUGUGGCACCCAAAAUUGAAGGUAUGAACCGUUAAUUAGCUUUUAGAUCAGGCCGCAAAUUGCUUGCCCCUCAUUCAGUUUAAUAAAAAUUAAAUCUUCAUUAACUAAUCAACCUUUAAGAUGGGUAUUUCUCAUCUCACAAAUUCAAUGUAGAAAACCCACUUUCAUGUUUGUUUUUGCUCCCACCACCUAUCUUGUUGCCCAUUUCUUUUCUUCCAUGUGUUUUCCAUUUGCUUAAAACAUUUUUACUCAGAUUGUCCAACUCAGCCAAAGGUGGCUUUAAAGUAAGGGGAAUUAUGAAGUAUGAUAAAUUAUUUGCUAGGCGAGGCCAUAACAAGUAAGAUAAAAAAGUUUGCAUGAAGAGCGAGUGCUUUUCUGAUUAAAUGGGCCAAUUUUAAUAAGAAAAAUCUAUUCAUUAGAUCAAAGACCAUGAUUUCCCAAGAAUGCAUUAUCUUUUAUGGUACAUUUUAAUCUUUUGUAGGAAAUUAUGCCUCAAGGAUCUUUAGUCCUUGAAAUAUAUUGUUUUUAAGAUACACUUACUGUUUUUAGGGUCAUCAUGAUAUGCAUUGUUUUUUAUUUCUUGUAUAUAUAUAUAUAUAUGUAUAUAUAUAAUUACCCCACAGACAGUGCUACGAACCAGAUUGUAGACCUAUCGGAUUAAUCCUCUUGGUUUUUAUUUCCCACAGACAGUCUCCCUUUUUGUCAAAUCCUGGUGAAAUGAGUACGUGAAGAAUGACUCAAAUCUAUUUUGACUAACAAAAUUUAGAACCAAAAUUUUAAAUUCUUAAACACUGAAAAUCUGUUUAUAUGUAUGGACACGGAUUUUUUAUUUCUUUUUUUCCCUUGUCACAAGACACCCUUUUUGGUUAUUUCCGUGUUUUUCAAUUGUAACUUGAAAAAACUAUCACAAUCUUAUAAGUAUAUAUUGUAACUUAAAAUCUGUUCCAGGAUAUUGUAAGAAGCGAUGUGUGCCAGUUAGUUUAGUUAGUGUCUGCUAUGUAUCAUUAUCGUUCAAGACUGUCACUUCUCUAACAGUCUUUCUUUUUCUUUUUUUUUUUCUUUUUUUUUUCUCUCUAAAUAUUAAUCUCGAAACUUGAGUACUUCUAAUGUUGUUGGGAUAAAAGUAUAUAAUGCUGCCUAAUAUAAUACCUGAUCGAUGUUGGUUGUGUAUAGUAUGUUGUUUGUUUCUAUAUGCAUAUAAAGAUUGUUGCGUUGAGUGAUAUUUUCUUGAUUUUUUUUUGGCUCCGUUAUAUGUGUGACGAUGCAAGCAUCAAUUCUACAUGUAUCGUCAAAAAUGCUAUUUCCUUGGAUCUGUUUUGAUUUUUUAAACAACUUAUGUCUGGGUUUAAAGAUCAGCAAUGGAUUUUUCUGCCUCUUAGUUUGUGUAUAUCUGUUUUUCUUAUUUUUUUUUCCUGCUUUUGAACGCUGGAGAUUGAUAAAAGUUAUCAAAGUAAUUUAUAAUGGAUUCAUUGAAGUGAGGAUGAGAAGAUAUUAAUUAAUUUGUAUUGUUAUCAUCCUUUCUUUGUAUGUAUAUAUUAAUUUUCUAAAUGUUUGUGUAAGAUCAUAUCUAUUAGUCCAAAUUUUGUGUGGUGGAUGUUAGUGUGUAGAACUAAGUGGUUUGUUGCUUUUUUAUGAGGGUUCUGCAGAUGCAAAUGUGUAAAGGUAGAUGUUUUUGUUAGAUUAUUUACUUGUAAAUUGUCAAUUGAAGAGGCUGUUUGAAAUUCAAAGGAACUAUGUGGGGUUUGGAUCUGAAAGUUGCUCUUGCAUCCAUAAAAAAUUUUUCACGGAUUGUUAUUCCUUUUGUUGCAGUUCUUGUAAAAUGAAUUCCUUUCUUAUUGUUUAGAGGUUGGUUGUAUUUAAGUUUUUUUUUUUUAAUAAGUAAUAAGAGAUUUUAUUCUCAAGAGUAGGCAUACGCCCAAGUACACAGGACGUAUACAAGUUGAAUAUCUCAUUCGCUUCCUCCAUAAUCUAAUAUCGGUUGGUUUAAUAAUUUUGUUUUGGUAUUUUCCUAAUUUCAAGUGCUAAUCUGAAUCAUUAAUGUGCACCUGAAGCAAAUUAUCUAGGUUCAAAUUUAACAGUGAAUUAUAUAUAUAUAUCUCCUAACUAAUUCAAACAGAUAUGUUAAUUUGUUUUUAUUCUGGACUGUUUGUGUGAUUUCAUAUACGCUGAGUUUUUGCCGUUUGGUGCAUAUAUGGAUAGAAAUUUACAGAGCAACAUGCUGAUAAUAAAAAAUUGUAUCUACAUUUGUCUUAAGAAUAUCUUAUUCCUGACUGAAUUUUGGAAUCUAUCAUCGUUAUCGAGCUCUUUCCCCUUUGAAUAUUUGCAGUUAUACAGUUACUAAACAGUUCAAUGUUAAGUUGCAUCAUCCUGUACUUAAUAACUUCCACGCCUCAACUUUCUUUGAGAGUCCAAUAUUUUAUUGGUAUUUUCUUUAUUCUGAAAAAGGGAUCCAUUUAUUCCCAGUAACUCUCUUGGCUGGUUGGGAAUUUCAUUAAACUGUUGAUACAAUAAGUUGUUUAUCGAUUGUUGUGAAACACCUAAUGACAUUUGUGAAUUUUUUAAAGAAUUUUCUUUUGGACUAAAUCUGUGUACAUACUUUUCCAAGCUUUGCAUUUGAAAUGUUGUGAAUUGAAGCCAUGGUUUAGUUGUAUGGAUUUCGUAAAUGCUUAAGUUAGAUGUUUGUGUCUGAUUUUUUGCAGAAUAAUUAAAGAGAAGUAAAAUAUGAACAAAAUAUGAGCACUGUCUUUUCAUCAAAAUCUACGGUAUAACCUUCUAGGUGUUUACCAAUAUUGAUAUUCUUGUUACUGAUGAAGUUUGACUUCAUCUAAAUAAUUCUGUUUGUUUGUUUUUUAUUUUUUUAUUUUUCCCGUUUGUUAUUAUACAAGAAGUUGCAGCCUUAGAAAAUUACAAACAGAGAAUGAGAAAGAACAAAAACAAGAAACAGAAAAACAGUUGAAUCUUACAGGUAAGGUUGUUGUGUCUAAAUUCAACAAGGUGACUUACUGCUGGGAGAAACUAAAAGACACGAAUGGAAGUAAAAUCUGGUGCUACCUCCAACUUGAGGUGAAAUUGGUCGCGAUGGUUGCCAUGACUAUAAACAGGUAAGAGUUUAGUUUGGGUUGUUUAGCAGUUCAUGUCUUUGAUACAGACGAUUCUUGGUUGCUGUUAUGGUGGACAAACAACAACUUCGUAGUGGCUUAUCGUAUGAUUUGGACGUGGUAGCUUCUAUCUGAAGGCAACAAACGUGAAAGUAUUCUACAUUUAGAAUUUCUUUUGUUUUGUUAUAGUUCAUUAAAAUCUGUUUGCUAAUUACAGAUUUUGUUUUUUAGGUUAUCAUUCUAAAAUUAGAUAAGAAUUUGCUUCGAAAAAUUCCACAGACAUGUCAUGUUUCUUUCACAUUUUGUGAAGUAUCAUUUCCUUGACUAUCAGAUUGACUCUCUAUGGAUGAUUUUUUGAAUCUUCUGGAUCAUUAAAUUAAGUAUAUGUAAAGACACAGAAUUGGAAGUAUUGAUUUGGAUAUUACCUGGAGAAAUUCAGUAGGCAUUAGAAUGGAAUGUUAGAACUAAA